AUACGGAGGGGGCUAGCGUUGUUCGGAAUUACUGGGCGUAAAGCGCACGUAGGCGGCUUUGUAAGUCAGAGGAGAAAGCCUGGAGCUCAACUCCAGAACUGCCUUUGAGACUGCAUCGCUUGAAUCCAGGAGAGGUCAGUGGAAUUCCGAGUGUAGAGGUGAAAUUCGUAGAUAUUCGGAAGAACACCAGUGGCGAAGGCGGCUGACUGGACUGGUAUUGACGCUGAGGUGCGAAAGCGUGGGGAGCAAACAGGAUUAGAUACCCUAGUAGUCC
rnacentral:rRNA from 1 species